CCGGCAGACUAUCUCCUGACAGACAAACACCAUCAGUGUCAGCACAGGAACCAGAGACAGAGAGCCAAGACAAAGAUGCUUUGGAGGUGUCUACAGCUCAGGGGACAACCGGCACACCUUCUCCUCCUGACAGACAAACACCAUCAGUCUUAGGACAAGAAGCAAAGACAGAGAGCCAAGAGAAAGAUACUUUGAAAUUAAACUUAAAGAAAGGGAGGAAACCGCUAAAAGCAAAAAGACAAAAGUCCUAUGGACCACUUUGGAGAGAUCACUCACCGGAGAAAGUAAUCCAAGCCAGAAAAUUGGUGAAAGAAGUAGUGAUCAAAGAAGGACAAAUGUUAAGCAUCCUGCACCCACAAACUUGGCUCAGCAGUGAUGAAAUGGAUGCAGCUUGUUUUUACAUUUCUCAACAGUUCCCUCAUAUAGAUGGGUUUCAGUCCAACCUUCUCCAUCAGUGUCUUCACCAAGGGGGUGUGGUUGGGACACCACAGAAACCAUUUGUUCAAAUAUUGAACAUAAAUGACAACCACUGGAUCACAGCAAGCAACCUUUUCUGUGGACCAAACGAGGUGUGCCUAUAUGACAGCCUAAACACAAACAUCACCAAGCAGACAAAUCAAAAGUUGUCCUGGUUGAUUCGUCCACAAGCCCCCCAGUUUAAGAUAAAAAAACCUGCCGUACAAAUGCAGCAGUCAUCUAGCAGUUGCGGAGUUUUUGCAUUAGCCUUUGCAACUGUCUUAUGUGAUGGAGUCAAACCAGAAGAGUGCCAGUUUCAAGAAAGAAACAUGAGACGAACACUGUACAGAGCUUUGAUUUACAUAUCAGACAAUACAAGCAAAACCUGAAAGGGCCACAUUCCAGGUGGACGUUCACUGUAUCUGCAGGACCUCACACAACCAAGAGGUGAUGGUGCAGUGCAGCAACUGCAAUAACUGGUACCACCCCAACUGUGUGCCCACACACAGCUUUGGACACCACAGCAGAAGAGUGGAAUUGUGAAGUCUGCACUAAUUAAAAUGUACGGUAUAGAGGUUUGGAGUUAAUCUUAUACUAUACUAAAUGUUUGUGCUGACAUUGAAAUGUUCAGGUACUUGGGAUGAUGUUGCUUAAUAUAGAAUGAGUAAAUGUAACAUCACAAACAAUGUUUUUCUUCAAAUGUAGUCCAGAGAUUGGAGAGCAUUGGAAACAGGUUAGUGUUGAAAUCAGUGUACAUUGAAAGCACAAAGCAUGAGCAUAAACAGUUCUUGGUUUGUUGCAGGUGCUUAUGGGCGUGUAGUGGACUCUUGGAGAGGACUUUAACUAAAGACUGGCAAGAAUCCAACUAUAACUGACUAAGUUAUUCCAUGUGGCGAGAUCAGAACAGACUGUGUGUGUGUGUGUGUGCGUGCGUGCGUGCGUGCGUGUGUGCGUGCGCGUGCGUGUGUGUGUGUGUGCGUAUGCAUGCGCACUCAUUUCCUUAUA